rnacentral:rRNA from 1 species
GACGAACCACACAAACGUUAUUCGGAAUUACUGGGCUUAAAGGGUGCGUAGGCUGCGCAGAAAGUUGGGUGUGAAAUCCCUCGGCUCAACCGAGGAACUGCGCCCAAAACUGCUGUGCUCGAGGAAGAUAGAGGUGAGCGGAACUUACGGUGGAGCGGUGAAAUGCGUUGAUAUCGUAAGGAACACCUGUGGCGAAAGCGGCUCACUGGGUCUUUUCUGACGCUGAUGCACGAAAGCUAGGGGAGCAAACGGG